rnacentral:rRNA from 1 species
CCCUUAGAUGUUCUGGGCCGCACGCGCGCUACAAUGAUGCAACCAACGAGUGCUGCUCCUUGGCCGAGAGGCCCGGGGAACCUUGCAAACUGCAUCGUGCUGGGGAUAGAUGAUUGCAAUUCUUCAUCUUGAACGAGGAAUGCCUUGUAAGCGUGAGUCAUCAACUCGCGCUGAAUACGUCCCUGCCCUUUGUACACACCGCCCGUCGCUCCUACCGAUUGGAUGGCCCGGUGAAGUGGUCGGAUCGGUGGUGCCCGCGCGGUCGCGUGGGAAGCCCCGAGAAGUCCAGUGAGCCUUGCCAUCUAGAGGAAGGAGAAGUCGUAACA